rnacentral:tRNA from 1 species
AUUAAAGUAAGCUAAAUAAAGCUGGUGGGUUCAUACCUCAAAUAUGGGAUAUUUUUGCU